GCGGCUGUAGCUCAGUGGCAGAGCGCUCGCCUAGCAUGUGAGAGGCACUGGGUUCCAUCCUCAGCACCACA
rnacentral:tRNA from 1 species